rnacentral:lncRNA from 1 species
AAUGUAUAAGAAACAAUUCCACUUUGACGUUGUGGGGUAUUGUGUGUAGACCAGUAACACACAAUCUCUAUUUAAUCAAUUUUAAAUUCACACUGUAACAUAACAAAAUGUGGAAAAAGUCAAGGGCUGUGAAUACUUUCUGAAGGCACUGUAGAAACAUAUUUUGGAAAGGGUUCUACAUGGAACUCAAAAAGGUUCUACCUGGAACCAAAAAUGGUUAUCCUAUGGGGACAGCCGAAAAACCCUUUCAGGUUCUAGAUAGCACCUUUUAUUCUAAGACUGUACUCUCCUUCAUCAACCUGCUAGACUAGUCUGGGCUUGUCCCUUAUGAUUUCAUUGUGAAAUAAAACAAAUUAUUUAACCUUUAUUUAACUAGGCAAGCCAGUUAAGAACAAAUUCUUAUUUACAAUGACUGCCUACACAGGCCAAACCCAGACGACCAUGGGCCAAUUGUGUGCCACCCUAUGGGACUCCCAAUCACAGCCGGUUGUGAUACAACCUGGAAUCGAACCAGAGUAUCUGUAAUGACACCUCAAGCACUGAGAUGCAGUGCCUUAGACCUUUGCGCCACUCGGAAGCCCCAUGUCAGUGUGAUGGAGACUAAAUAGCCUACUCAGAUCCAAUAAUAGGCUCUGGGGCCUCCUGCAUUGCUUUUAGAGACGAUUAAUUCCUAGUUUGAUCGCCAUCAUGACAUCUAACUAGCAGUAAUGCAGGAAUUCUGUGAAGUAGCUUUGUGCCAUCUGGUGGUGAAGGCAAACUCAUUCCUCUGCCCUCCAGAGUCCAGUCUGUACUUUUCCACACAGAUUCACAAUCACAUACUGAGACUUUGUUAGAUUCUCAAGAUUCUUUUGUAGAAUCUUCUAGAUUUGAGAGGCUAAAAAUGUCCUUGGUGAGCUGAUAUUGACAAUUGGGUGUCUAAAAAGACAGAUUGACCGAUUUAAUUCAAACAUUUCCCCCCCUAUUAUUCCAUCAUCUUGUUGUGCCAAGAUAUGUAAUGGAAAAGCUAAUUAUGAAACACAAACAAACCUGCUGAUGAAUAGAUAGUGGUUUGGUUGCUGAUGUAGGCUACAUUAAUUAUCAUCACUUUUCUUUUACAGCAUAUAGACCGUACAGGUUUGUUAUGGGCUACUGUAGCCAUCUUGAGUUUUUUUCUGAUGUUAUAUUUGGAAUGCCCAUGAUGAGUCAUUUCACAGCUCCUCCGCUUAUUUUUUUUAAGUAAAAGGAAACUGGUUUGCUCUCCCAUAGUUAACAACUAGCUCUUCUACAAAUGUCUAGUUGUUACAAUGUUUAAAAACCGAGUGAGAAUUAUUGGUUGGUAGGCUACAUAAUGUUCGACAUUAAGCAAAUUCAAAUUCAGCAAUGCAGUAUAAGGGAAGUAGACCCGGUAGAAAGAACCAGUGAAUUCCAGUUUAAUCCGGUUUGUAUGGACUGUUCACAUCUUGCACUGUAUUUAUCCGAGCACCAAAUGCGUUGACGUCAGCUGUUGUUAUUCGAAAAGUAUGUCGAAUGACUGACUCCCUCUUACAACAGCAGCCUUUGUAACUCGAGAAAUGAGAACACGUCAUAAUACAUAAUGGCAAUAUUUACAGUACUGUAUUAUGAUUGGCAAGUUUGAUGCUGUUGUUAACAAAUGUACAUAGGUAGGUUGGUUCAUGGUUGAGAUGAAAGCAAUGCAAGUAAGUACAUUUUGAUAGACUCCCACAUUUACCAAAACCCUUUUUUCAUGACCAUACAUUAAAAUAAGUAGGUUUGUACGCUUGUGUUUCACGGUGAAGUAAAACAAAGUGUAAGUAAAAGUUCGCAGCCAUUUCAUAAAUGCGCGACGAAUGUGGCCCUAUUUCGUGAAUCACUAGGUCGGAGGUAUUCUCAUGGUGACGUUAGCCGCAUCACAACUCGUGUAUAACUACCACCCGCAACCCCCUUCCAACUCCAAACUCUUUAUUGAUGCCGUUUUACUGUGCUGCGUUGGUUAACGGUUCGGUUUCGUCAAAAUUUAUUUUUCCUGAAUCUCUUAUUAGGUUACUUUAAUUUUAGAACUGACGAAUGAUAGCUAAGACUAAUAUGUAACAGGUCUCGUGUGACGAAUGUAGUAUGGAAGUAGUUUAAAUUGAUCAGAUAAAGUAGCUAUCUUACGUUACCUGCUAGCUUGUCUUUCGACGCCUACAUGAUUUGUUGCCUCAGCUUUUUUUUUUGCGAUUGUUGCUUUUACUCGAGUACUGAAUUGCUUACGAUUCGUAUGCAAUAAGAUUAACAUUAUAGCUAUAAGAAACGAUCAAGCUGACGUGUCCAUUAUGAAAGCCACAACAAGGUUAUCGUUAGGUGGCAGGGUAUUGUUAUUAUCAUCGUCAGUUACGUAGUUUAACACAAAAGAAUGCUUAUUUCAGCUGAGUUGGCAUCUCUACGCUAAGUAACAGCGAAAAUGUCACAUUUGUUAAUAACUACGGUACCUAGUCAAGAAGGCUUUACCAAACAAAAUGCGCGUGUUGUGGCGCAGUUGUAGGCCUGAUAAAAAAAAUCGCGGCGUGUCACGAUGUAGUGGAGAAAUGGCUGCCCGGGUGAUUCAGUACUGGUGCAGCUAUCUGAAGUUAAAAAAAAAAUGAAGAUCAUGAAAGAAUCAGGUUGUAUAAGUGUCAUUGAAAGAACCAAGUUACAAGACCAGAACCUUAUGAAAGGAGUGAAGCCGUUCGAAUAGCCAGCUAAAUAUUUGAAUAGAAGUUGAGCGUAGGUCCCACACAUCCGAGGCAGUAUAGCUACUUCGAUGCGUAUAGUAUUUUGUUAACCUAAAAUGAAGACUAGUUUACAAGAGGAGAAUUUUGAAUCCUUGGGAAUGGGCAGUAAAAUAUACCACUUACAAGACGAGCAUCAUAUGAAGAAAUGAGAAUGGCUAGCUAAAUAUUUGAAGAUCAAGUUGAACGUAUGUCCCUUAAACUGCCUCGGAUAUAUCUACUUCAAUGCGUUAGAAGUGUUUAUUUUAGUUGGUUGCGCAUCAGGAAAUACAAUUUAUAGUGGGUAAGGAACCAAGGAAAAAUGACUUUGGUUUUAUGUAAACUGAAUAAGUGCUGGUAGUUUGUCUCAUCAGUGUAGGCAACAUGUGAAAUAACCAAGUUACUGAUCUUGAACCAUAUGAGAAGUUGUGAAGCCUCUUGAAUAGCCAACUGCAUAUUGGAAGUUGGGCUGCAGUUGCUUUUGAGUAAUUUUUAUAUAUUUUUGUAGCCUGAAGUGAAGUACAAUAUGUGCUUAAGUUGUGAGACCUUACUUCAAUAGCAAACUAAAUAUUGGAAGAUAAUUUAGGCCAACAGUGGCUGUUUGUCAGUCAUUUAAGCUGCUUCAAGAAGUAAAAAUGUUUUGAGCCUAAAAUGAACAAGAUGUGCUGCGGAUUUCAUUUCCAAGUACAGCAGUUGCUUUGAUAGCACUAGCGGUAGUUCAAGGAGUUGCAGGCUAGUGACGUUGCUUUGUCACGCUUCAGAUCUGAUAAACUUUUUCUAAACACAAUUGGCUCUAGUUGGUGAAGAAAAGAAGAUUUUUCUGUAGAAGAAUGGACUGAGUUUGAGUUUUUUUUUAAAGUGCUGUGGGGGCACUUAGCUAGUAGGCAGUUUGUGAUCAGACGAGGAAGGACGACUUCAGGAUCAGGCAAGGACCAGGCAGAGGGAAUCUGGGCGGACCAGGCAGAGGGAAUCUGGGCGGACCAGGCAGAGGGAAUCUGGGCGGACCAGGCAGAGGGAAUCUGGGAGGACCAGCGGGGAGCCAGGCAGGAUCCAGGUGGAUCGCGGGAGGAGCAGAUGGGAACCAGUUGAGCGAGCGGAAUGCAGCAGAGUUUUCAUCAAAGGGAGCGAGCCAGGUGGCAGGGUAGCGAGCAUCCCAGAGUGAGCUGAGAGCGGAGCAGUCCCAGGUCGAGUGUUGCCCUAAAGCAGCCAGUGGGUCCCAGCAGCAAUGAGGUGACGAGUAAAAGGGCCAACUAGCUUCGCAAGUGACAAGUGUUUGUAUGAUGGGUAGCGGUAUACAGUAAUGUUUAACUAGGCCAAAAAUCUUUGAAAUUAGUCAAUGUUAAAUCUGUCAACACAUUUGCUCGCGAAGUUUUCUUCCUCUUUCAGGCAAUGGUAAAGUGUUAAUUUUCCUGGUUGCGGCCCUUUCCUGUGUGAUGUCUGCUGUGAUGAGUCCCCCUUGGCCUACUUGGUAGAGUGCACUGGCGAGAGGACUGUCUUAAAGGAUUUCACCCUCCUGCAGCGCAGAUGUAGUACCCCCCCUGGGCGGAGGCGUUUCUUCUUCAUUGAGUUCAAUAGGUCUACCCCCGAGAAGUGGUCUACAUGGGAGUGUUGAGAGUCGAAAUUCUUCUGUACGUUCGUACCACAACGCAGCUUUGGUGCUGAGCAGCUACAUCUGCUGGUUAAAGUGAGCAGUGAGUUUAAAUGCAUGAGAUGAUCUUGUGGGGAGUAACUAUUCCCCUCAAUAAAUAUUGAUAUCAAAUUUCUAUUUGCCUUUGUAAUGGUAACUGAAAGGGAUUAUCCCUGCAUUUAAUUUGUAGUAUUGGUUAAACUGUGGUGCAUUUGUGGAUGGUGGGGGGGAGACUUUUUCCGAGUUCUUCUUUUCACAGGCUCGCACCUUAAAGCAAACCUGACCAUCCAAGGGAGUCCCUCUUUAGUACUGCCCGCCACAUUAAUCAAAACGGUUGAGCACGUCCCGUAACAGAUAAUUCUAAGGAUGGAUCAAGGGAAACCUCUGGUGUUAAAAUCAUGUAGGAAGGUAUUUUGUGCUGGUUUUCUGUAGUGAGUUGAUCAUUUGCAUAUACUGUUUUUCUUCCAAUAUGUUGUAGGGAUACACACUUGAGUUCUGGGAGGGUUGUGGGGGUGUUAAUCAAAUAUUUUCCUAGAAUUUCUUUUCACACAGCUUCGUGUAAAGCAGCGUUUUAAAGAUCCAAAUGGCUAGCGUUGAGGUUUGAGGAGCAAGGAAUCAACCCGGUGGUCCACAUCUUUCAGGUUUCCUUUUGCCUUGUGGUGUGGAUAUUCCUUGGUGUCUACAAUGGUGUAGCAGGAGGCGGGCCACAUUUUGGGAUGUGAACUUGCGGUGUUCUCCCAGGGAGUGUGGUAACCCUUAACUUUUAGGCUGAUGCAUUUUAUAUCCUGGAGUUGAAAUUUGCAUUUGGUUUCUGGGGUCAGGGGAGAGCUUAACUGUGACUCUUCCAGAUUAUGACCCACCCCUCAAUGAAAGAAACUGGAGAUCUACAUCUCCCUCGUCUUAAGGAGAACAGCUGAUGCCUUGAGGCCAGUGGUAUUUAACUGUUUCUUGUGGAAAGUUAUUGAUUUGGUGUUAGUGAAUUUGUGUUAAUUGUAUUUUAGCAACUGUUAAUACAAUUUUGAUAGUGGGUUGGUUACUGUCUGGGUUUGUAUGGGUGGGAAUGGUGGAAGUCUUGUUUUCCCUUUUGCGUUUUCCAGUGUGCUGUGUCCUACUGCGCUUUCAAUACUGAAGAUCAACAGGAACGCCCCUAACGCAUUGUAUGACUUAGCUUGGUGCUUUUAGAUCACGGAAGUGACCUGGGCCUGAUGGCAGCUCUUACAAGGUGGAAAGUGAAGGUUUCAGAUAAGUUCAAUCCAGCUUGUAUCAUGUCCAAAAGUGGGAAAAUUCAUGACAUGCCGCCUGGUUGUCUGAAUGGGCCCCAUUGCUGCCUCAGUUGAUUGGUCUUCAAUAGAGACGCAUCUACUUAGCAAUACGACUCUGCCACUACUUGUGGUAUGUAGAAGUUGCACUGCUGUGCUUUCACUGAGUGCAAAUCUCUUCUGGUGGAGACUUUUCAACUCAAAAUGUUAUGCUAAUUAUAAAGCAUAUUUUGUCUACGGGUAACAAAUGUCAGUGCUGUGAGGGUGGGUAUAGGGCUGUUUGUUUUUGAUCUUUCAGAAUUACAAAAGCCCAAAUGAAGACUGCCUUCUACCCGUGACAUGACCACAGGAAUCGCCCCUCCUUUGAACUCCUCUACACAGAAAUCUGAGUGCGUCUUGGUGAAGCACGAAUGAAGUCUUCUAACCUGCCGCACGUAGUAAGGUGUUGGUGUACCUUUUCAGUCUUCAUUUCAUAUCAAACUCCAGACCCCUGCCAUGUUUUAGUUUGGUUCAAUGGACAUCUUCAACUGGCUUCCUGUUAACCUCCUAUCGUUAAUAACCAUCAUCAAGCCAUGCUUUUACCAGCAUAUGCCCCUUUCUUUGGCUCAGAGCCCUACUGCUUUGCAUCUUUAAAGUAAGUUGAGUAAAAUGUAUGUUGUGAGUACUGUGGUGGUUUGUGUAGAAACCUUUGUUUCAGAUCAUUAUCUUGUAUCACUGUCCGCUGACUGCGCCUCCAUCUGAAUGUAACGCCGUCGCAGGAAACUCGACAAAUGAAUGUGGCCCCUGAAUGAAGUAUCUACCCUCUGCGCUUGAGCUUAGUCAAACCUCUCCACUCGACGGUCUUCAGUCUCUUCUCUCUCUGUGCUGUCUGUGCUCCUUUCCUUUCCCCCUUUUGGUUUCUCAGGUGACAAUUUCUCAUCCGACGUAAAAUUGUCAUGAAUUGGCAUUCGUUAUCUGCCUCUAACUGCGUGAUGGAACACUGAGAACCCAGUCACUUUCAGAUCAAGAGCCACAAGCUUGUCUUGCUGAAAAUUGAGCAUCACUUCAGUUUCUUGGUUACUAAGUUAAGUCAUUUUGGUUCCCUUUUGCUUUUGAACACACCAUGGCUAUGUUUUAACACAACCUUUUGACUCUGCAUGCAUAUCAGCUCUGCAUAACAUUUUGAAUUUCAAAAUGCGCAACAUAACUUUCAUAUAGUUAAUGUGUAAAAUAGGCACAUACCAGUAGGUGUUGGGAGGGUGGGGGCAACACUUUCUUCCUUCCUUUCAGGUAUCUCUUGAGUGAACUUGUCGUUACUGGGUGCUUGCAGCUGCAGGGAGUCACGGGAAGUGUCUUGGUUUGAUCCAGUUCUAGGAAGUUGAGAGCAUCAGUGUAGAGAAACUGGUUGGUUGUGGUUUGUACUGUUUCUGUCAGUCACAGUAAAUUACAUCUUAAAAUAUUUUCUAUUUCAGGGAUAUGUUUUGGGGGGGGGGUGUAAUUGUUCCUCUUUUGUCUUUACAGCUUCAAAUCUAAGAGCUCAAUCCUUGCAAGUUUGACUGACCUCUGGACCAAUGUCAGUGAUAAGAUCUACACUUACGUUGUGAAUUUGUCUUACUGUUAUCAUGGAUGAAAUGUAGUAAUGUGGAAUUGCUCUAAUGGCAUUAAGUGUCUUCCUGGGGUUUGCUGGGGAUGGGGGGAAACAAGUUGUCUUUUCCUCUAGUUUCAGGCUUGCGACGAUGCUAAAGUCCUCAGGUUCGUGUAGAGCAGCAGGUGCUAAGGGUUUUUCUUUUCCUGGGGGAACAAACCCUCUGGUUUUUGUUCUUCCAGGUUUUGCUUUUUGUCCUUGCGCAAAAAAAGCAAAAGACUCCGGUGGUGGCACUCCUGAUAGUCCUCAGGACGGGGUUCAAUUCCCUGCGGCGUCUUUGCUUUUCUCAACCUGCUGCUUAGUUGGGUAAGCUAGUUAAAACAGGAACCUAGGUAGUUAAAAUAAUUUAUAGGGUCAUAUUGCGAUUUUUAAAUGACGCGAGCAGAGCUCAGCUUCUUAUUAGCUAGCUAACAUUAGCUUUAUUAUAUCUAUAUAGUGUUAGGUGUACUGUUUUGAAAUAACAUUCUUUAUAUUGAUUUGAUUGUAUACAUAGUCUUAGCAAGCUCUUUGGCAGCAAGCUAAGCAUUUUUAGCUAUAAUAUUUAGCUAGCUUGCUUUGCAAAUGUUAGCCUAGUUAGCUAGCUAGCAUCAAGUGUUGGUGAUAGAAAAAUGGCCGUAGAAGCAACUCGAGCUUAGUUUAGAAGACUUGACUUUUCAAUUCAUUUUGAGGCACCUGUAGAACAAGGAGCUAGUUAGCAAAGAUUUUUUCUGUGCCCUUGGUGUACAACAAACUCCCUCACGACGCCAGGACAGCGGAGUCAAUCAUCACCUUCCAGAGACACCUGAAACCCCACCUCUUUAAGGAAUACCUGGGAUAGGUAUAUAGAUGUACUAUUGUAAAGUGGUUGUUCCACUGGAUAUCAUAAGGUGAAUGCACCAAUUUGUAAGUCGCUCUGGAUAAGAGCGUCUGCUAAAUGACGUAAAUGUACAUCAUUGAAGUGUAUCGUCUUAAAUUGACAGUUGCCAUAGUUAUUGAGGCUUUUUAGUAUGCGCCCCUUGUGGGAACACAACCAAAUAUUAACUGUUCCAAAAAUGUUUCUACUUAGGCUUGCUUGCCAACCCAUAAAUGUUAGUUAGAAGAAACUGGUUUCUAAUGGAAUUUAUUUUGUUUAGUCUAUUGGUUGAGACAUGACUUGUAGUUCAGGAGAUGAGUUUAAUUUACUUUAAGUUAUGAAUAAAAUCUAUGAACUGUACAAAAUUGUGUGCUGACUGUCAUACCUCAUUACAAUGUUUUAAAUGACUUAAUUCCAAGGAUUUAUUUAGGUUAUACGUUACAAUUUUACUUGACAUGUUUUAAUGUGCUUUUCAUAUUUGACAAAGCCAAUUUUAGUGACCUGAAGUAUAUUUUCAUUACUGAGUAGAGUAAGCCUACAUAACCAAGGAAUGGGGGUGUAUUUAAUUAUUUCACCUUUAUUUAACCAGGUAGGCCAGUUGAGAACAAGUUCUCAUUUACAACUGCGACUUGGCCAAGAUGAAGCAAAGCAGUGCGACAGUUACAAAUGUACAGUCACAAUAUAUAUAUAUAUAUAUAUACACAGUGUGCAAAUGUAGGGAGGUGAGGCAAAAUAAUUACAAUUAUGCAUUAACACUGGUGUGAUAGAUGUGCAAGUAGUGCUACUGGGGUGCAAGAGGAUAAGUAACAAUAUGGGGCGAGGUAGUUGGGUGUGCUAUUUACAGAUUGGCUGUGUGCAG